AUUCCUUUAAUUUUGGGGAAAUAUAAAGCAAGCGGCACUAAAAUACAUGCUAGGGGUUUAUAAUAAUAAACUUAAUUUUAUAUUAAAAACAAAUUAAGUUUGUUAUAAAUGCCCGAAAAGGUGAGUAAUAUUUUUAUUUUAAAAAAUUUAAAUAAAAGUCGUAUUAGGUAUAAGAGAUUUCUUGCCGAAGAUGCGUAGCAAGAGAGCCACACUUUAUGAAAAAAGAAGCUUUGCAGCAGUAAAUAAUUUUGUGCAAUGUAUGAAAGUAUGACACAGAGAUGUCGCCUAUAACUGUCAAAUUACGUGCCAGCAGACGCGGCCAUACGUAAAGUUAAAGUUUUAUAAAGAGGCGUAAAGGGCGCGUAGUGGUAGAGAUUUAAAGAGGUAACUGGUAUGUUUAUAAAGCGGUAAAAUGUAUAUAUAAAAUAGAACACCAAAGGUGAAAACAAGUUGCUAUUUAAGUAAAAGCCCCUAAAACUUUUAAAUUUUUAGUUUUUUUAUUAGUUUUCUAAUAUUUUUAUUCAAUAAAAAUAUUAAUAAUUUUUUUAAUUAAAUAGAAAAUUAAAAUAAUUAAUAAAUUAGAAUAUUAAUCUGUCGAUGAAGCGCGAAAGUAUUGGGAAUAAACGGGAUUAGAUACCCCGGUAAUCAAUACUGUAAACAAUGAAUAUGAAAAAUCUCAAUUUUUGAUAUAACUAAAAUAUUCCGCCUGGAGAUUACGACCGCAAGGUUAAAAUUCAAAAAAUUUGGCGGUUCACUGUCUAAUUAGAGGAGCGUGUAUUUUAAUACGAUGGUGCGCGUGAAACCUUACCAAAACUUGUAUAUUUAAAGAGUGUUUAUUUUAAUAAUAAAUUAUUUUUAAUAAAUAAACAGGUAUUGCAUGGCCGUCAUCAGUUUUUUUUGUGAGGAAAAAACAUAACCCCUAAUAUUAUUUACAUGUUAAUAUAAAGGGAUGAUGUCCGGUCCUUAUGGUCCUUAUGUUUUGGGCAAUAUAUGCGCUACAAUUUCUUAUGAAAAUAAGAGUCAAAUUAAUUCUGAAAUGAAUUAUGAAGUUGGAUUUAAUAGUAAUCGAGAAAAGACGAUCUCGGUGAAUACGGCGCCAGUGUUCGUACAAAUCGCCCGUCAACUUCUUUUAAUAUUGAUGUUUUAAAAGUUUAAAAAUAAAUAAAUUCUAAUUAAUUUAAAUAAUUUUUAGAAUAAAAACCUGAGAAUAAGAUGAAGUAAGUCGUAACAUAGUGAGGGUAUUGGAAAAUGUUCUCGGACCAAG
rnacentral:rRNA from 1 species